rnacentral:rRNA from 1 species
GACGAACGCUGGCGGCGUGCCUAAUACAUGCAAGUCGAACGAGAGCGACCGGUGCUUGCACUGGUCAAUCUAGUGGCGAACGGGUGAGUAACACGUGGGUAACCUGCCCAUCAGAGGGGGAUAACAUCCGGAAACGGAUGCUAAAACCGCAUAGGUCUUCGAGCCGCACGGCUUGAAGAGGAAAAGAGGCGCAAGCUUCUGCUGAUGGAUGGACCCGCGGUGCAUUAGCUAGUUGGUGAGGUAACGGCUCACCAAGGCCGUGAUGCAUAGCCGACCUGAGGGGGGGACCGGCCCAAUGGGGACUGAGAACCGGCCAAAACCCCUACGGGGGGAAGGAGGGGGAAAUUUUCCGAAAGGGACGAAAGUCUGACGGAGCAACGCCGCGGGGGUGAAGAAGGUUUUCGGAUCGUAAAACUCUUUUGUUAGAGAAAAAAAAGGGCUAGGGAAACGGUUAGCGCCUUGGCGGUAUCUACCCAAAAAGCCACGGCUAACUACGU